GCAAGCGUUGUCCGGAAUCAUUGGGCGUAAAGAGCGUGUAGGCGGACCAGUAAGUCGGUUGUGAAAGUCCAGGGCUCAACCCUGGAAAGCCGGCCGAUACUGCUGGUCUAGAAUCCGGAAGAGGCGAGUGGAAUUCCUGGUGUAGCGGUGAAAUGCGCAGAUAUCAGGAGGAACACCGGUGGCGAAGGCGGGUCUCUGGGCCGAUACUGACGCUGAGGAGCGAAAGCGUGGGGAGCGAACAGG
rnacentral:rRNA from 1 species